rnacentral:misc_RNA from 1 species
GAUGGAGAACGCAGUGAAAUGCGAUACGUAAUGUGAAUUGCAGAAUUCAGUGAAUCAUCGAGUCUUUGAACGCACAUUGCGCCCCCUGGUAUUCCGGGGGGCAUGCCUGUCCGAGCGUCAUUGCUGCCCUCAAGCACGGCUUGUGUGUUGGGCCUCCGUCCUCCUCCCGGGGGACGGGCCCGAAAGGCAGCGGCGGCACCGCGUCCGGUCCUCGAGCGUAUGGGGCUUCGUCACCCGCUCUUGUAGGCCCGGCCGGCGCUUGCCGACACAUCAAUCUUUUUUCCAGGUUGACCUCGGAUCAGGUAGGGAUACCCGCUGAACUUAAGCAUAUCAAUAAGCGGAGGA